rnacentral:rRNA from 1 species
AUUGAACGCUGGCGGCAGGCCUAACACAUGCAAGUCGAACGGUAACAGGAAGAAGCUUGCUUCUUUGCUGACGAGUGGCGGACGGGUGAGUAAUGUCUGGGAAACUGCCUGAUGGAGGGGGAUAACUACUGGAAACGGUAGCUAAUACCGCAUAACGUCGCAAGCCCAAAGAGGGGGACCUCCGGGCCUCUUGCCAUCGGAUGUGCCCAGAUGGGAUUAGCUAGUAGGUGGGGUAACGGCUCACCUAGGCGACGAUCCCUAGCUGGUCUGAGAGGAUGACCAGCCACACUGGAACUGAGACACGGUCCAGACUCCUACGGGAGGCAGCAGUGGGGAAUAUUGCACAAUGGGCGCAAGCCUGAUGCAGCCAUGCCGCGUGUAUGAAGAAGGCCUUCGGGUUGUAAAGUACUUUCAGCGGGGAGGAAGGGAGUAAAGUUAAUACCUUGGCUCAUUGACGUUACCCGCAGAAGAAGCACCGGCUAACUCCGUG